rnacentral:rRNA from 1 species
GACGAACGCUGGCGGCGUGCCUAAUACAUGCGAGUAGAACGCUGAAGGAGGAGCUUGCUUCUCUGGAUGAGUUGCGAACGGGUGAGUAACGCGUAGGUAACCUGCCUGGUAGCGGGGGAUAACUAUUGGAAACGAUAGCUAAUACCGCAUAAUAGUAGAUGUCGCAUGACAUUUGCUUAAAAGGUGCAAUUGCAUCACUACCAGAUGGACCUGCGUUGUAUUAGCUAGUUGGUGAGGUAACGGCUCGCCAAGGCAACGAUACAUAGCCGACCUGAGAGGGUGAUCGGCCACACUGGGACUGAGACACGGCCCAGACUCCUACGGGAGGCAGCAGUAGGGAAUCUUCGGCAAUGGACGGAAGUCUGACCGAGCAACGCCGCGUGAGUGAAGAAGGUUUUCGGAUCGUAAAGCCCUGUUGUAAGAGAAGAACGAGUGUGAGAGUGGAAAGUUCACACUGUGACGGUAUCUUACCAGAAAGGGACGGCUAACUACGUG